GAGAGGCAGGCGGGCCCUAGCUGCAGCGUCAAGGUCUGGGGAUUCUGUGGCUCUGUAGGGUGAAGGGCACUGGAGACCUACCAGGGGCUGGGCCAUUGGAGUGGUGGGUGCUGGGGAGCUUCCGUGGGCCCCUCCAGGUCCACUCCUUGCUCUUCUCUGCCUUGUUUUGUGCCCAGAAGGCUGACCUGUGUGGAUGCAUUAUCAGGGUGGAUGCAACACAGGGCUGCCAUGCUCUCUGGUAUCAGUUUGGAAGGCACUGGCAGGAUGGGAAGGCAGGCGGGGAGUGAGGUCAGGGGGCCUAUCCUUCCACUGCCUCCCUGCUGCUCCCUGACUGAUUCAGAAGGACAGAAUAACGGGCUCCCAGAUUCACAAGCCCCACCAAGAGGAUCACCCCAGGAACGCUUGGAGGCUGAGGAGUUCACUGAGGCUACUGCAUCUUGAGACUCAGGAUGAAGACCCAGCUUGGGGCUGUCAAAGGUUUUUUGCAUGUCUGACACCCAUGACUCCACCUGGACCUUAUGGCUCCACCCAGAAGCAAUUCAGCCCAACAGGAGGACAGCUUCAACCCAUUACGAUUUCAUCUCUGCCCCAACCACUCAGCAGCAAGCACCUGUUACCUGUCCACCCCCACCCCUUCCCCCAAACUGCCUUUGAAAAAUCCCUAACCUAUGAGCUUUGAAUAAGAUGAGUACGAACUUCAUCGCCCACGUGGCGUGGCCGGCCUCGUGUCUAUUAAAUUCUUUUUCUACUACAAUGCCGUGGUCUUUCUUUAUGCAGUGGGCAGGAAUAACCCCUUGGGCAGUAACAAAUUUGGGGUCUCAUGUGGGAUUGUGCUGGUGGCUACCUGUGUAUGAUUCGGUAGCCCCCCACUGGCAACAGGCCUGGAGGCCAGCUCAAACGGCUGCCUAGUUCUCCUGGCAGAGAGAUGGGGGCUGACUCUGGCACCAUCUCUACCGGCGGGACACUGCUGACCAUGGUGCAUGGAUGCAGUGGGCAGGAAGAAUCUCUUGGGCAGUUAUGCUAUCUAUCCAGUCCAUCUGUCAAAUGUAUCCAGACUAUGACCUCCUCUCACUUCUUGGUCGAAGCCACCCUCAUUCCUGCCUGGAAUUUUUGUAACAGCCCCUGGGCUGGGCUCCCAGCUUGUGCCUUUGCCUCUCAGUCUGUCUUCAAAACAGCAGCCAGGGUGAUCCUUUGAAAGGGCAGCCAGAGCUCAUAAGCCCAUUUGCUUCAAAACCCUCAAAGGGUUCCACCUAAUUCUGAGUAAAAGCCACAGGCCUCACUGUGGCCUGCGAGGCCCGUGGGAUGCAGCCCUGUGAUGUCUCUGAUCACGUCCUCGUCCUUUCCAUCUCAUUUCGCCCUGGCAUCCUGGCCCCUUUGUCAUAACUCAGACCCUCCAGGCAUACUUCUGCCUCAGGUUCUCUGCACCUGCUGUGUCCUCUCUAGCCUAUUUGUCCACUUCCUCAUCCCUUCUCAGUCUUUGCUCGGGUAUCAUCAUUUCCAUGAGGCCUUCCCUGGCCACCAGAUUUAACACUGAAACUUCCCCACAUCCCACGAAGCUCACUAUGCUCUUUGCUGGUUUUAUUUUCCUCCAUUGUUCUUGGUGUCUCCUAAUGGGUUCUACAAUUAAUUGUUUGAGUUGAUUUAUUAGUUUCUCUUACUCCCCUGGAAUAUAAACUUCAAGAAGGCAGUGAUUUUUGUCUUAUCUCUUUCCAAGAAAAGUAUCUGUGACAUGGUAGGCACUCCAUAAGUAUUUGUAAAACAAAUAAUUGGACUUCCUUAUACCAAAGACAGUCUGCACAGAAAACAAAUCUUUACUUCAAGCACAAACCUUUUGAUAUACAUAUAUAUGUCCAAGUUUUCCUUUUUUUUUUUUUUUUUUUUUUUUUUCAGAGAAGGGCCCUUUCUGGUUUCCCCUGCUGCCCAUCAGGAUGCACUCAGGCAGCAACUGUACAGUAAAAGGGGACACCUUUAGCCUCUGGUUUCCCAGAGCAGAGAGCUGUCAACACCAUAAGCUAUUUUUGCCUCACCUCUGGUGCUCCGGAGUGGCAGGCCAGUCACAGGUGUGGUGCAUCAGACUAUGAAGAGGCUGGGUGGCCACAACUCUGUGCUGGGAUGCUGACCUCUUUGAGGCAAACAGCAUGAGCUGGAAAAAGUGUGUCUAUCUCAGAGUUAAAAACUGGUGAAUUCCCCUGUUGCUCUUUACCAUCUCCUGGGUCCGUAUGAUCUGACUGCCACCCACUUUCCCCUUUCCUCACUGGGCUCCAGACACACUGGCUUCCUUCCUUCCUGAAGCCUCCAUCUGCUGCCGAGCUCAGGGCUUUGUUAGACGCUCACCCUGCCUGUGUUGCUUCCUGCAGUGUGCUGAAUUGUGUCUCCCAAAAGAUAUGCUGAAGUUCGGACUUCCAGAACCUGUGAAUGUGACCUUAUGUAUAAUAGAAAUAGGGUCUUCGCAGAUGCGAUCAAGUUCAAAUAAGGUCACUCUGGAUGACGGUGGCCCCUAAUCCACUGGCUGGUGUCCUGAGGACAGAGACACACAGUGGGGAGGCCUUGAGAAGAUGGAGGUAAAGGUGGGAAUGAUGCAUCUACAAGCCAAGGAGCACCAAGGAUUGCUGGCAACCACCAGAAACUAGGAAGAGGCAAGGAAAGGCUCUUCCCUACAGCUUUCAGAGGGAGCACAGUCCUGCUGACACCUUGAUUUCAGACUGCUAGUCUUCAGAGCUGUGGAAAAAUACUUUUCUGUUAUUUUAAGCUCCCCAAUUUAUAAUAUUCUGUUAUGGCAGCCCCAGGAGAUGAAUACAUUUCUUUCUCCUCCUUCGUUUCAUACCUCUAGUGCCAUCUCCUUGAAGAGUCGUUCUUUAACUCCCAGUCAUUACUAGGUUCCCAAGUUCUACACCUUUAGCUCUGCAGCCUAUUCCCACGGGAGAUUCUCUUGGUAGCCUCCCCCGACACAGUGUAAGCCCCUUUGUGUCCAGGUUGCUCACUAUGGGUCCUCAGUCUCUGAGAGCGUCUUCAGCACACAUUGCGUGAGCAAUCAAUUUUUGUUGAAUGAAUGCAUUGCAAUCUGGAGUGAGCAUAAGAUCCCAGUCAGAAGAUUGCCCUGGGUGCUUCCCCUAGAAAUCCUCAAAGUACAAUUAUUCAGAUUGAGUCACUCAGCCCAUGGUACCCUACAGUUGCAGAUGACACAAGAAACAUGAGAACCUCUGAGGACUUUCCAAGCUGGGGCCUGUUCUUACUGUUUAGCAUGAAAUGUGUUUUCCUGCUAAGAACAUGAACCAGAAAUGAGUUUUACCGAGUGGUUAGCAAGACCUUAAAUAGAAAGGAAACUCCAAAAAAUGUAACUUCUCUCACACUUAAGCCUCCUUUUCAACUUCCCUUUCCUGCUUCCCAUCACUAGAACCUCCAGAUCUUAUUUCCUGGGUGAUGAUGAAUGGUGGGCCCUAUUUCAGACCUCCCCAAAUUCUGCUGAACUUCCUCUCUUUGGGUUUUAGACAGAGAGGUAUGGUAAGUGCCUCUAGAACUGACAUCUCCUGUGAGACCCUUCUCUUACAUGCUAUGUAGGUUUGGCUGCUGAUGGAUUCAGAAUGGUUUUUAUUGAGCACCUACUAAGUGCUAGCUUUUACACUACGCAUUUUGACACUCUGUAACUUCUUUUUCAUUUAAUCUGUUCCAGAAACUUAUGUUCACUAUGAUGUGAUCUUGCUUUUGAUCCAUUUUACUGAUGAGGAAAUUGAAGCUCAGAGAGGUCAAGUAAUUUGCCUAAGGUCACACAGUUAAUAAAUGGUAACGCCAUUUUCAAUUCUACAUCUGCCUGACUACAAAGUUGGUGGUUUUCCUUUCCUAAAUGUUACAACUAAAAACCCACUCUAGCUCAAAAUGGCAAUGGGCUUUAUUGUAAGGAUUUGGGCUGUGCCUGGGACUGUCUGGUGGUUAUCCAGCAGCCUCUUAGGAGGAGUUGGCCUGUUGGAUUUAUGGACUUGGGACCCUUGGUAUGUGCUCAGCACAUGCCACAGACCUGGCAAGCAUGCUGGCCUGGGGUCAUCUGCUCUUGGGGCUGUGUUUUCUGAUUAAGGGACAUUAGGCUAGCCACUUCCCACAUCCAGCUUCAGUUUCCCCAACUAUAAAAUUAAGACAUAGAUAUGCUUUCCACGCUGCCAUCCUGCCCUGAUAAUCAGAUUUUAGUAUCCCAGGGCUAUAACGCCCCAUUCUUCCAUACCCCUCAAACUCCUGCCUUUCUAUCCUAUCUGGAACUGUGGCUUACAUAAAAACUCCCAAGGCAUCCAUGCAGGUCCCUUCUGUCAGAGGCUCCAGCUUCUCCAUCCCUUUCCUCCCCUCAGUCGACAUCCUCUCCUCUCCUGGAGUUAGUCCUGCUGGGGGACCUUGGGCAAGUUCCUUCACCUCUUUGAGCUUCCGUAUCCUUCUCUUUAAUGAUCUCGAAUGUAACAACCCCACCUCAUAGCCUCAUUAUGAGAGCUAGAUGAAAUGAAACAAUAACCACUGUUUACCUUUCAGGCACCUGGCAGAAGUGCACGCUCUGGAGCUGAGUGGAUGGGUGCAAAUCUUGGCCAUGCUGCUCCUCCACACCCAAGCGGUUUGGGCCUGGACUAGUUGCCUGAUGCUCCACACCUCCACAUGCUCUCUUGUCAGGCAGAAACAGUAACAGCAACCCCCCACGCCUGUUAUGAGAGUUAAGUGAGUUGAUAUUUCUAAAACACAUCAGUGUGGGGCAUUAGGCUAGCCCCUAAUGCCACUCAUGCCAACAAGUGCUGUAGAAGAGUUAGCCAUUAUUCUUAGGUCAGCUAAUUAUCCAAUCAGCCUGACAAAGGAGGUACUGUUAUUAGCCCCAUUUUAUAAACAGGAAAGAUCAGUAACUUGGCCAAGGGCAGAGGGGCAGGCCUUGAGCCCAGACGGAUAAGACAUUCCAGGGGGAGGCUCCUCACCUUCAGUUACACUGACUGCUGGAUAUAAGGGGGCUCCCCACUUGGAGCUUAAAGGUUUGCAAUAGCCACCUUGAAAUUCUUGAAAAUCUUAAUCACUUUAUGUUUGAGUUUGUGUUUUGUAAGUGAAGUUCUGCUUCUGCCACCUCCCCCUUUCCCCAAAUGUGCCCAAGACUGAAGAGGGUCAGAGUCAAUCCCAUAAUUGUGCCAUGGGGCAGGGCUGUGGAGGUCUUCAAGGGGCUGUAUUCACCCUACAAGUAUUCCUGUGCCCAAAAGAGUAUGACAUUAAAUAGCAGAUAAAAACAAAACAAAACACACCAGGACGGAGAUCUCAGAAUAAAGAAAAAAGCUUUUUUUUUUCCUGUUUGAACAAGCAUUUUCAUUCUGCACCAGGCCUUGCUAAUAAGGUAGCCAGAUCUGGGUGCAUAGCAUGUCACGGGCGGGAAUGAAAUGAUAGUACUCUUUCGCUUCAAAAAAAAAAAACCCCAAAAUACUUGUUCCAAGUUUAGUAACUGAGUGCAGUUUGUUCUGACUUUUGAUUCACAGGUAGAGACAAAGUCUUUAGCUGAAAGGUAAUAGUUUUGCCACCUUCUACAAAUAUAGAUAUAUUUUUUCCCUAAAGCCUCCUGAGUCCUUUUUAAGAUUUGCAUCCAAAAUAUGGGCCCUUUGCCACCGACAUUCCUGUUUGGUAGUGGAUGAGAGGGCAAUCUUAUUUUUUUCUUCUUCUGUUGUUAUAAUCCUCAGAUGCAGAGUGUUCUCUUUAAAAGACGCUUUUAAAGGGCAAUUACUUUAUGCAAAUGUGGGCAUCUCUGGAUGGCUGGCAAGGCUGGAGUCAGGCCGUGGAAGCCUGGAAAGUGGACUGCGCGGGCUGGGCAGGGGACCAGGAGGGAGGCCCUGCUUGCCGGUAUCAGCAACUUUCUUCUGCUGCCCCCUGGACCUCUGGGAGAAGACUCAGCAGCCACAGCCAGAGUAAUGGGAAGAUCACAGCCGCAUAGGGCUGUGAAUCAGGGAGGACACCUCAUCUGGUUUAUCUCAUGUGAAAUAGAUGAGGCUCCUUGAGAUCUGAGCAAGCAGCCACUCGAAGCCAAUCAUGGGCGCCACUGCAGACCUGUGUCCAAUGAGAGAUCUCAGUUAAAGUAGAAUAGACCACGCUUCUGUGUCUCCUGCUUCAGUGUAGGCCACAGCACAGCAGAGGGUGGAACAUUCCAGGAAAGAGUUAAGGAUGCAGGAGAAACCCCCUAAGGGAGGCCAGUAUGAGAAAAGGUGGCCUGGGAUUGUAUGGUGGGGGAGAGGCAGCUGGGCUCCAGAUCCUUUUCUUACCCUUGGAGCCUAUGCAGUCUUCAAGAGGCCACUGCUGGCCGGGCGCGGCGGUUCACACCUGUAAUCCCAGCACUUUGGGAGGCCGAGGCGGGCAGAUCACGAUGUCAAGAGAGGGAGACCAUCCUGGCCAACAUGGUGAAAUCCCGUCUCUACUAAAAAUACAAAAAUUAGCUGGGCACGGUGGUGCGUGCCUGUAGUCCCAGGUACUUGGGAGGCUAAGGCGGGAGAAUCUCUUGAAGCAGGAUAAUCGCUUGAACCCGGGGGCGGAGGUUGCAGUGAGCCGAGAUCGCGUCACCGCAUUCCAGCCUGGACAACGAAGCGAGACUCCUUCUGAAAAAAAAAAAAAAGAAGAAGAAAAAAAAGGGGGGCCACUGCUCCAGUGGCUAGGCCCAAUCUCAUUUCCAAAGCUGCUUCAGGCAUCUGUGAAACCCCCAGAUGGAGCAGCCCGGGCUGUGGACACUCUGCCGCAUCCAUGCCUCCUUGUUGCUUAGUGAGCCUGUUCUCAUUACUCCCCCAGCGCCACCCUCUGCAUUUGCUCCACUCCUCCUAGAGAUGCAUCUUUCAUUUUUGCAUCACUAAAUGCACUUCUUCUGUUUCUCUGUUUACCGGAGAAAAAAAUAGGAAGCGUGGGAGGCAGGGCACAACAGUCUUCGCCUCGGGUUCGUUGGGUAAGUUUCGCCCAUUCUCCAAGAGGGGACCUGACUAGGGAGGCUCACGGUUCAGAUCGGUGCUCCAAAUUCCCAACAUACAACUGAGUCAUUUUUACUUGUUUCUACAAUUUGUUAAUAGUAGCUGGCCUUUGCUGAGUUCCAUCUAUGAGCUUGGCCCCCUUGCUAAUCUCUCUACUACAUACAAUACCCCUUUUAAGUCUUUUUUAUCGCAAUAUAGUUUACAGAUGACAAAAUGCAAAGAUCUUAAGUUAGAAUUUGGUGUGUUUUGCAAAUGUAUACAUCCGUGUACCUUUCACCCCCAAACAAGAACACAGGACAUUUCUUUCACCCCUGGGAAUUGCCUUGUGUCUCUUUCUAUAUUCCGUCCUGCUCACCCCACACGAAGGUGACCACUGUUCUAAUUUCUGUCCUACCCAUGCAUUUUCUCUGUUCUAGAACUUCUUAGAAUCAUCUUUACUUUCCUCAUGUCUAGCUUCUUUUCUUCAGUACACUGUUUAUGAGAUUCAUCCAGGUUGUUGCAUAGAUCAAAAACACUUCCUUUUUAUCGCUAUUUAGUAUUCCAUUCUCUGGAUACUCCACACUGUUUAUUAUUUCAUCUGUUUGAUGGACAUUUGGGAUGUUUUAAGUGUGCAUUGAUGAUGAAUAAGGCUGCUAUGAGAUUUCAUGGACAAGUCUUUUUAUGGACAUAUGUCUUGGGGAAAUACCUAGAAGAGGAAUUGUUGGAUCAUAUGCUAAGUGUAUUUGUAGCUUUCUAAGCAACUGCCAAAACUGUUUUUCCAAGUGGUGGUAUCUUUUUUUUUUUUUUUUUUUUUGAGAGAUAGUCUUGCCCUGUCACCAAGGCUGGAGUGCAAUGGUGUGAUCUCAGGUCACUGCAACCUAUGCCUCCCAGGCUCAAACGAUUCUCCUACCUCAGCCUCCUGAGUAGCUGGGAUUACAGGCACCCACCAGCACGCCUGGCUAAUUUUUGUAUUUUUAGUAGAGACGGGGUUUCACCGUGUUGGCCAGGCUGGUCUCAAACUCCUGACUGCCUCGGCCUCCCAAAAUGCUGAGAUUACAGGAGUGAUCCACAAUGCCUAGCCAAUAUUAUUUUUUAACUCUUGCCAGGAGCAGAGGAGAGCUCCAAUUGCUCCACAUCCUCACCAACAUUUGGUAUUGACAGUCUUCUUGAUUUUUGGCCAUCUUAGUGGGUGUGGAGGGCUGUCUCGCCAUGGUUGUUAUUUACAUUUUCCUAAUUACUAAUGGCAUUGGGCACUGUUUCACACACUUAUUGCAUAUAUCUUCUUUGUGAAGUGUCUAGGUCUUUUCUUUAUUUGGGAAGAUGGGUUGUUUGUCUUUUUAUUAUCGAGUCGCAAGGGUUAUUUAUAUAUCAUUGAUACAAAUCCCUGGUCAGAUACAUGUGCUGCAAAUAUUUUCUUCCAGUCUCUACUCACACUGUCUCUUUUAAUCCUCCCAGCAACUUGAUGAAGUAGAUGUUACUAUCCUCUUCUUUAUUUCCUAGAAGCCAAAACUGAAGCACAGAAAGUUUAAGUGAAAUGUUCAGAAUCACACAGCUACUCAGUAUGGCAGUGAGAGUGUGGGCCUACUGCAGUGUGACUCAGAGCAUUGAUGUCCAGAAAAUCCCAGGAAGCUUCUUUCCACACACGAAGCCUUGUAUCUCCCUGGCAGUCUGGAGGCAUGUGGCCCUCGAGCCAGUGCUGGGCUGGGUUAUUUCGGUUCACACUCUCGCCCUCUGCCUUGCACAUACCAGACCAUCCUGGGAAGUAGGCGGCUCCCACAACCCGGUUGGGAGCGUGGUCUUCUGGGGAGGAUGCCACACAGCUUUGAGUUGCUCUGAUGAAAGACAAACUGCGGGGAUUCUUAUGGGCCUCCGAGGACGCUGACAGUAUUACCUCAUGCCAGGAAUAACAAUGAGGGGCCUAGGCGAGCUCGCCGCCAGCCCUUCUCUGGGAGGCACCGCUGGAGGAAACCAGCCAGGAGAUGGGAGGACGGGGCUGGGAUAUUUAGUCCACAGCUGUCUCAAAGGAGAACUAUUGGGUGCCUCAGGGACUUCCCUCUUUCUUUCUCCUUUCUGAGCAGGUGAAAGGGUCCCUGCGGCAGUCAGAGCGAAAGGCUAGGAGGUUUUGUGAGAGUAAGAACAAUGGCAACUCCAGCCCUCAAAAUGCUAGUUGGAAGAGCGAGCCUCUCUGAGCACUCGCUGUGUGCCAGGCACCGCGUCCACACUUUGCAGCCCCACUUGAUGCAAGACUCUGUGUAGUGGCUUUGCAUUUACUCCCUCAAUCCUCGUCACACCCCCAUGAGACACGCACUAUUAAAAUGCCUACAGGAGGAAACUGAGGUCCAGAGAGGUGAAGUAAUUUGCCUAACGUCACUUAUUUAUAAGUGGUUGAAGUUUGAAUAGGGGUUUAGCUAAUUCUAAAGCCCAGUAGCUUUACUGCUACGCACUUCUGCCAUUCUGUUAAAAAACUUUGUCAAAUUUCAAGUUUGUGUCAUGCACUACACAUGAGGUGUCUUGGUCAGUGGAAUAUAAGAUUGAACAAGACCUGACUCUUCUUUGGGCACUGUGUGGGUUGGAUGGUGGACCCCCAAAAGAAAUGUCUACAUCUCAGAACCUGUGAAUAUCAUCUCACUUGGAAAAAAAUAUUUUUGCAUAUAUAAUUAAGGAUCCUGAGAUGAGAUCAUCCUGGAUUCUUUGGGUGACCCUAAAUCUAGUGACAAGUAUUUUUAUAAGAGACAGAAGAGAAGGUCAUUUAAAAAGGAAACAGAGAUUGGAGUGAUGUAGCCACAAGCCAAGGAACACCUGAGGCCUCCAGAAGCUGGAAGAGGCAAAUAAUUCUCCCCUGGGACAUUUAAAAGGAGCUUAGCUUAAUAUAUUACAUUCAUUAGAAGUGAGUCCCUAGGUCCAAUCCACCUGCAACUGGAGUACAUUACACAAAAGCUUGAAUACCGGGAGGCAGGAAUCAGUGGGGGCAUCUUACAAGCUGUCUAGCACAGUGCCAAGAGGCAGGGAUCACACCUUCUUUUGCUUUUUAAAUUUCUUUUUUAAUUUUUUCGAGAAUGUGUCUUGCUCUGUCACCCAGUCUGGAGUGCAGUGGCGCAAUCUUGGCUCACUGCAACCUCUGCCUCCUGGGUUCAAGUGAUUCUCCAGCCUCGGCCUCCUGAGUAGCUGAGAUUACAGGCACACACCAACACGCCCAGCUAAUUUUUGUAUUUUUUAAUAGAGAUGGGGUUUCCCCAUGCUGGCCAGGCUGGUCUUGAACUCUCGACCUCAGAUAAUCCGCCUACUUUGGCCUCCCAAAGUGCUGGGAUUAGAGGUAUGAGUCUGACCCCACCUUCUAUUUUUCUGGCAAUCCCCAUCCCCACCUUCUGUUUUUCUGGCAGUCCCUGGCCCCUAACUGAAAGAAAAAGAACUAACAUUUAACAUUUUUAUUUAUUAAGAAAUAAUAGCAUUUAUUAUGCAUUGACUGUGUAUCAACAACCAUGCCAGACUCCUUAAACACAUCGUUUCAUGCAGUAUCACUUGACCCUCCUAUGAACCCUGAAAAGGGAGGUGUUCUUACCUCCAUUUGACAGAGGAGGAAACCAAGGCUCAAAAAGAUGAAGGCCACACAGUAGCCUCUCAGAGGAAGCCAGUGGUUCUCAAACUGUAGCUGCAUCAGAAUCGCUUGAAAACAAUCUCUAAGCCCUGAACACAGAGUUUCUGUCUGAUUUUGCAGCUUUAGGGUGGGACUUCAGAAUCUGUUUCUUUUUGCUUUUGCUUUUGCUUUUUUUGAGACAGAGUCUCUGUCUAGCAGGCUGGAGUGAAGUGGUACGAUCUCGGCUCACUCCACCCUCCAGGUUCAAGUGAUUCUCCUGCCUCCUCUCAAGUAGCUGGGAUUACAGGCGCCCACCGCUACACCUGGCUAAUUUUUGUAUUUUUAGUAGAGACGGGGUUUCACCAUGUUGGCCAGGCUGGUCUCGAACUCCUGACCUUAGGUGAUCCACCCACCUCGGCCUCCCAAAGUGUUGGGAUUACAGAUGUGAGCCACCGCGCCUGGCCAGAGAAUAUGUAUUUCAGACAAGUUCCAAGUUGAGGCUGAGGCUGUGGGCUUGCGGAUCAAGCUUUUAGAACCACUGGAGAAUCAAUAUAUUUUGCAGCAACAGACAAACCCUAAAGUUUCAAUGGAUUAACAUAUCAAAUGCAUUUCUUGCUUAAGUUGCAGUCUUACUGGGGUAGGGCAGCCCUCCUUCAUGCUAUAGCCCCUAUCAUUUGGAGCAUAUGGUCCCCAAAGUCACCAUGGAAGGAAAAAGAGAGGGCAGAGGGUCACUUAGGAUGUUCAAAAAAGGCUAGGCCUAGAAGAGGAGGCUUUUAUGCCUUUUGCUUAGCCUUCAUGGGCCAAGACUCAGCCCCAUGGCCUCAAACUAACUGCAAAAGAGGCUGGGAAAUGUAGUCUUCCCCAGGAGGAGCAAAUGGUUAAGAUGAGCACACAGCUGGUCAGGGCAGGGCUGGGAUUUGUGCUCAGGUGCUUUCUCUCUUUCUUCUCUUGCCUUUUUCCUGGUCCAGGUGUUUUUGGUGGGCUUUCUUAGUGUUAAGGAACUUCUGUAUGUGUGUGUGUGAAACUGAAAAAAGAGAAGAGGAAAGAGACAUUUUCGAGGUCCUUCAGCCCACUCUCUUGCCAGCAGCCUUCACCCAUCUUCACUUCAUCUUAGAGGUGCAGGUGACAGUUGAUAAGUACCUUGAAAGGCCUCCAUGUGUGUGCAGGGCAUUCUUUCGUAAGUUUCAUCUGUACCAUGUUAAGUGAUUCAGGGCCACUAUCUCUGAAUUUGAAGAACCCUCAAGCUACUGGUUCUCCAGGACCUAAACCCUGGACUCCAGGCCACAGACAAGCUCUGAGUGAAAAAUGAAUCCUUCUUGCCGCUCCUCCCCUAUGCUUCACAUUGCUCCAAACCUACCUGCCUCCAACACGUGGUGCAGUUUCUACCUUCCCUUCCUUUGCAUAUACUGUGACAUCUGCCCGAUAUCUUUCUCUUCCCUCCAGACUUGACUCAGAUGAUACCAGCUCUAUGAAGCCUUCAUCAAUCUGUCAAAGAAAUAUUCAACUUACCCUCAUUCUGGGUCAGAGGCACAGGCAUGCUUCUUUGUCUAACCUAUGGUCUAGCACUUGUCAAGGCCUGUGUAGACUUUGCACUUGCCUGCCUCUCCUUAGAGAACGUGAGAUGUUCUUGAGCCAAAACUGUGUAGCAUCUUUUCUUGGCCUCUUAAUUUCUGACAAGACUGAGUCUAGAAGCCUUCCUGUGAUGUGCAAAGCCCUCCUCAAGAUCCACAGGUAAAGAAGGAAGUCUCUGGCAUUAGUUUGAAUCCCAGCUGAGCCACUUGUGGGCUGUGUGACCAAGGGGAAAUUCUUAGUCUCAUGAAUGCCUCAGUUUUCUCAUCUGUAAAAUGGAGGUAGUAAUGUUGUGUAUGUUCAAUGAAAUAAUGCACCUAAAGCCCUUUGAACAGUGCAUGGAAAAAACUCAGGAAGUGCCAGCCAUCACUGUGUUCUUAUCAUUGCUCUUGUUAGUAUCUUGCUACUUUAGCCCACACCAGCCACAUCAGAUCACUUACUCGCUGACAAUUUUGAUGAUCUUGCAUGCUCCUUUGCUUUUGCACUUAAUCUCUUCUGCUCAGAGGUCCCUGUCUCUCACCUAUUAAUGAAUUAAUUCAUACUUAUUCUUUCAUUUAUUUAACAAACUUUUUCCUUAACUCAUUCCUGCUCAUCCUGUAGACUCGUCUUGGCCCUUCCUGUCCAUUCCCAUUGGAUUUACCACUCCUGUUUUGACUUAUGUUUACUUUUCUGUAUCUCCGUGAACAACUUGAAAGCAGAAAAAAAGAUGCUCAUUUCCUACUGGAUUUACUGCUCUGAAGCCAGUUCCUAAUAUCUUGAUUGUCACAUAGCGGGAGCUUAAUGAACAUUUGCUGAAUGAAUAUAUGAACGUUUCUCAUCUCUGAAUCUGUUCCCAAAGCUUAGUGCAUUGUAGGUGCUUACCCAGGACUCUUUCUCUUGCAGGAAACCAGAUCACUCUGGAUGCAUAUCAUCUAAAGGCCCUAGUUGUGGGAGGGCUACUUUUAAUCAGUGUAUUGGCCGGGCGCAGUGGCUCAUGCCUGUAAUCCCAGCACUUUGGGAGGCCGAGGUGGGCG
rnacentral:lncRNA from 1 species